GAGGACAGCUCUUUAGGAUGUCAAGUAAGGUUGCUUCCUAUCCUUGCUAUCUGAUCGUUCUUACUAGAGAAGAUAUUGGAAACUGGUCCUGGGAUUUUCUGAAUGCAAAGCAUGUGUUCUACCACGAAAUGAAAGAGCUUCCCAGGAAGAAAACUGGGCUUGGAAUUGUAGAUGGCUGAAAUACAGGCACUACAUUUUCCAUAUAAGUCCUAGAAACAUUGGAUACCGAAGGUGAUGGAGUGGUGACAGAAGCAAUUCUAGCUGAAUUUGCAGGAGGCAUUACUUGUAUUGUGAGAAACUCUUAUAGGUCAAGGGACGCCAUGCAACUUGAGAUCUUGGCUCUGUUUGGAAAUUCAGACAAAUGCCCCACCGCCAGAAUCCUCUCAUGGCUUGAGCUUGGUGCAUUAAGCAAAGCUAUGAGAGUGGACUCCAUUGUGGUACCCAAGUCUCACCUUUCACUUUGCAUCACCUUUAUAUCUAGAAGCAAGAGCCUAGAUGAAAUGCGCCUUAUCUCAUCUCCCUAA
rnacentral:lncRNA from 11 species